rnacentral:rRNA from 1 species
GUGAGGUAACGGCUCACCAAGGCAUCGACGGGUAGCUGGUCUGAGAGGACGAUCAGCCACACUGGGACUGAGACACGGCCCAGACCCCUACGGGAGGCAGCAGUAGGGAAUCUUGCACAAUGGGCGAAAGCCUGAUGCAGCGACGCCGCGUGGGGGAUGAAGGCCUUCGGGUUGUAAACCCCUUUCAGUAGGGACGAAAAUGACGGUACCUACAGAAGAAGCUCCGGCCAACUACGUGCCAGCAGCCGCGGUAACACGUAGGGAACAAGCGUUGUCCGGAUUUAUUGGGCGUAAAGAGCUCGUAGGUGGUUCCGUAAGUCGGAUGUGAAAACUCAAGGCUCAACCUUGAGACGCCAUCCGAUACUGCGGUGACUUGAGUUCGGUAGAGGAGUGUGGAAUUCCUGGUGUAGCGGUGAAAUGCGCAGAUAUCAGGAGGAACACCGACAGCGAAGGCAGCACUCUGGGCCGAUACUGACACUGAGGAGCGAAAGCGUGGGGAGCAAACGGGAUUAGAUACCCUGGUAGUCCAUGCCGUAAACGUUGGGCACUAGGUGUGGGGAUUUAUCAACGAUCUCCGCGCCGUCGCUAACGCAUUAAGUG